rnacentral:rRNA from 1 species
UACGUAGGGUGCGAGCGUUAAUCGGAAUUACUGGGCGUAAAGCGUGCGCAGGCGGUUUUGUAAGCCAGAUGUGAAAUCCCCGGGCUUAACCUGGGAAUGGCAUUUGGGACUGCAAGGCUGGAGUGCGGCAGAGGAGACUGGAAUUCCUGGUGUAGCAGUGAAAUGCGUAGAUAUCGGGAGGAACACCAACGGCGAAGGCAGGCACUCUGGGCCGGAACUGGACGCUGAGGAGCGAAAGCGUGGGUAGCGAACAGG